GGGAAUGUGGCUUAGUGGUAGAGUACUUGCUUCACAUGCAUGGAGCCCUGGGUUUGAUUCCUCACAUAACCA
rnacentral:tRNA from 1 species